rnacentral:rRNA from 1 species
UUAGAGUUUGAUCCUGGCUCAGGAUGAACGCCGGCGGUGUGCCUAAUACAUGCAAGUCGUACGCACUGGCCCAACUGAUUGAUGGUGCUUGCACCUGAUUGACGUUGGAUCACCAGUGAGUGGCGGACGGGUGAGUAACACGUAGGUAACCUGCCCCGGAGCGGGGGAUAACAUUUGGAAACAGAUGCUAAUACCGCAUAACAACAAAAGCCACAUGGCUUUUGUUUGAAAGAUGGCUUUAGCUAUCGCUCUGGGAUGGACCUGCGGUGCAUUAGCUAGUUGGUAAGGUAACGGCUUACCAAGGCGAUGAUGCAUAGCCGAGUUGAGAGACUGAUCGGCCACAAUGGAACUGAGACACGGUCCAUACUCCUACGGGAGGCAGCAGUAGGGAAUCUUCCACAAUGGGCGCAAGCCUGAUGGAGCAACACCGCGUGAGUGAAGAAGGGUUUCGGCUCGUAAAGCUCUGUUGUUGGAGAAGAACGUGCGUGAGAGUAACUGUUCGCGCAGUGACGGUAUCCAACCAGAAAGUCACGGCUAACUACGUGCCAGCAGCCGCGGUAAUACGUAGGUGGCAAGCGUUAUCCGGAUUUAUUGGGCGUAAAGCGAGCGCAGGCGGUUGCUUAGGUCUGAUGUGAAAGCCUUCGGCUUAACCGAAGAAGUGCAUCGGAAACCGGGCAACUUGAGUGCAGAAGAGGACAGUGGAACUCCAUGUGUAGCGGUGGAAUGCGUAGAUAUAUGGAAGAACACCAGUGGCGAAGGCGGCUGUCUGGUCUGCAACUGACGCUGAGGCUCGAAAGCAUGGGUAGCGAACAGGAUUAGAUACCCUGGUAGUCCAUGCCGUAAACGAUGAGUGCUAGGUGUUGGAGGGUUUCCGCCCUUCAGUGCCGGAGCUAACGCAUUAAGCACUCCGCCUGGGGAGUACGACCGCAAGGUUGAAACUCAAAGGAAUUGACGGGGGCCCGCACAAGCGGUGGAGCAUGUGGUUUAAUUCGAAGCUACGCGAAGAACCUUACCAGGUCUUGACAUCUUGCGCUAACCUUAGAGAUAAGGCGUUCCCUUCGGGGACGCAAUGACAGGUGGUGCAUGGUCGUCGUCAGCUCGUGUCGUGAGAUGUUGGGUUAAGUCCCGCAACGAGCGCAACCCUUGUUACUAGUUGCCAGCAUUAAGUUGGGCACUCUAGUGAGACUGCCGGUGACAAACCGGAGGAAGGUGGGGACGACGUCAGAUCAUCAUGCCCCUUAUGACCUGGGCUACACACGUGCUACAAUGGACGGUACAACGAGUCGCAAGCUCGCGAGAGUAAGCUAAUCUCUUAAAGCCGUUCUCAGUUCGGACUGUAGGCUGCAACUCGCCUACACGAAGUCGGAAUCGCUAGUAAUCGCGGAUCAGCAUGCCGCGGUGAAUACGUUCCCGGGCCUUGCACACACCGCCCGUCA